UACGGAGGGUGCAAGCGUUAUCCGGAUUCACUGGGUUUAAAGGGUGCGUAGGCGGAUUGGUAAGUCCGUGGUGAAAUCCCCGAGCUUAACUUGGGAACUGCCGUGGAUACUAUCAGUCUUGAAUACCGUGGAGGUAAGCGGAAUAUGUCAUGUAGCGGUGAAAUGCUUAGAUAUGACAUAGAACACCAAUUGCGUAGGCAGCUUACUACUCGAUCAUUGACGCUGAGGCACGAAAGCGUGGGGAGCAAACAGG
rnacentral:rRNA from 1 species